UUGCAGGCUGCAACUCGCCUGCAUGAAGUUGGAAUUGCUAGUAGUCGCGAAUCAGAAUGUCGCGGUGAAUACGUUCCCGGGCCUUGUACACACCGCCCGUCACACCAUGAGAGUCGAUAACACCCGAAGCCUGUGAGCUAACCGUAAGGAGGCAGCAGUCGAAGGUGGGGUUGAUGAUUGGGGUNAAGUCGUAACAAGGUAGC
rnacentral:rRNA from 1 species